rnacentral:tRNA from 1 species
GCCUCCGUAGCUCAAUUGGUAGAGCAGCUCACUCUUAAUGAGAAGGUUCCAGGUUCGAUUCCUGGCGGGGGCA